CGGGCCCUUCUGCGAGCAAGGUGAGGCGAGGGCGCGGGCGCACGUGCGCGCGGGGCUCCUUGCACGGGCGCGCGGGGUUGGGGGGGGGGCCGUGCACCAACGUGGGGGUUCUUGCAUGGACAUGGGUCCUUGCACCGGCACAGGGGUCCUUGCACCAAUGCGGGGGUUCUUGCAUGGACACGGGUCCUUGCACCAGCAUGGGGGUCCUUGCACCAAUGCAGGGGUUCUUGCAUGGACACAGGUCCUUGCACCAGCGCGGGGGUCCUUGCACCAACAUGGGUCCUUGCACUGGUGCAGGGGUUCUUGCACGGAUGCGGGUUCUUGUAUCAAUGCGGGUCCUUGCACCGACACAGGUUCUUGCACCAACACGGGUCCUUGCAUGGACGCGGGUCCUUGCACCGGUGCAGGGGUCCUUGCACUGGUGUGGGGGGUCUCGCACGGACGCGGGUUCUUGCAUCAAUGCAGGUUCUUGCACCAACACGGGUCCUUGCACCAGCACAGGAGUUCUUGCACGGGCAUGGGGGUCCUUGCACAGACACGGGUCCUUGCACGGACACAGGUUCUUGCACCAGCAUGGGGGUUCUUGCACCAACACGGGUCCUUGCACGGAUGCAGGUCCUUGCAUGGACACGGGGGUCCGUGCACCAGCACGGGUCCUUGCACCGGCACAGGAGUUCUUGCAUGGGCAUGGGUUCUUGCACGGACACGGGGGUCCUUGCACCAACACGGGGGUUCCCGCACGGACGCGGGUUCUUGCACCAACACGGGUCCUUGCAAGCUGCGAUGUGGCUGCGCUUUCGGGUGGCCCUUGCACGGCCUGGUGUCCUUGCACAUUGCAACGUCUCUGCACCACCUUGUGUCUUUGCACAUUGCAAUGUCCUUGCACCGACGCGGGGCUUUGCAAGCUGCGAUGUGGCUGCGCUUUCAGGUGGCCCUGGCACGUCCUGGUGCCUUUGCACGUUGCAAUGACUUUGCACCGACGCGGGGCCUUGCACCACCUCGUGUCUUUGCACGUUUCAAUGCCUCUGCCCUCCCUUGUGCUUUGGCAGAUCCUUGUGUCUUUGCACAUUGCAACGUCUCUGCACCACCUUGUGUCUUUGCACACUGCAGUGUCCUUGCACCGACGCGGGGGCCCUGCAAGCUGCGAUGUGGCUGCGCUUUCGGGUGGCCCUUGCACGGCCUGGGGUCUUUGCACGUUGCAAUGUCUCUGCGCGUCCACGUGCCCUUGCACCGCCUCGUGCCCUUGCGCAGCCUUGCGUCCCCGCGCGUUGCAAUGUCCCCCCCCCCCUUGCACGUCCCCCCCCGUCUCCCAAGGGCGGCCCGAGGUCGCGGGAUGCCAGCGUGGGGCCUCGCACGGGUUCUCGCACGGGCUCCAUCGUCCCCGCGCGCUAACGGCCUCCUUCUCUCCCCGCCCCGCUGCCGCGCCGUGGCCGCCCCGCAGAGGAGCUUCCCGUGGAAGGUGAGCCGAGCCGUGCCGCGCGUGCGAGGCCGCGUGUGCGAGGCCGGGUGGGGGGUGUGUGUGUGUGCGGCGCUCAGGGACUCGUGCAAGCCUCGGAUCUCGUGCGUGGGGCAGCGCUGGUGCAAAGCUCGGGGGGGGGGGCUCGUGCAACAGGGGUUUCGUGCAAAGCUCAGGGACUUGUGCAAAGCUCGGGGACUCGUGCAUGGAGCAGGGCUCGUGCAAAGCUCGGAGGGACUCGUGCAAAGCUCUGGGAGUUCGUGCAAAGCUCAGGGGUUCACGCACAGCUCAGGGACUCGUGCAAGCCUCGGAUCUCGUGCGUGGAGCAGUGUUGGUGCAAAGGUCGGGGACUCGUGCAUGGAGCAGGGCUCGUGCAAAGCUCGGGGACACUCGUGCAAAGGUCGAGGACUCGUGCAAAGCUCUGGGAGUUCGUGCAAGGCUCAGGGCUUGUGCGAAGCUCACGUCUGUGCCCAGAGCCGGAGCUUGUGCGACGCUCGGGGGCUCGUGCACGUCGCGGGGGCUCGCACGACGCUCGGGUCUGUGCGACGCUCGGGGGCUCGUGCCACGCUUGGGCCUCGUGCGUGUCGCGGGGCUCGUGCGACGCUCGGGGGCUCGUGCGCAGGGCAGGCGCUCGUGCAAGGUCGGGGGGGGUUGCACGGCUCAGGGGUCCGUCUGCCCCGUGUCACACGCGUGUGCACCCCGUGGUGCGUGUGCAUGGGGGGGGCAUUUUGUGUGCCCACGUGCUGCACGCGUGUUUGAGCCAUGUGCGUGUCGGCAGGGCUCUGCGGGCCUGGUCUGUGCCCGUGUCCUGGGCAGCACACACGCGUGUGCGAGCCAGGUCUGUGUGCAAGGAUGUGCACACACAUGUGUGUGUGAGCCGCGUCCGUGUCUGGGACAGUGCGCACGUGUGUGAGUCAGGUCCAUGUGUGAGGACAUGCGCACGCGUGUGCGAGCCAGGUCCGUGUCUGGGACGGUGCACAUGCAUGUGCGAUCCGGGUCCGUGUCUGGGACGGUGCACAUGCGUGUGAGCCAGGUCCAUGUGCGAGGAUCUGCACAUGCGUGUGCGAGCCGGGUCCAUGUGCGAGGCCGUGCACACGCGUGUG
rnacentral:lncRNA from 1 species